AUCUGGCUGGCUCAGUUGGUAGAGCACAUGACUCUUGACCUUGGGGUUGUGGGUUCGAGCCCCAUGCUGUGUG
rnacentral:tRNA from 1 species